UAAAGGAAUUGGCGGGGGAGCACCACAAGGGGUGAAGCCUGCGGUUCAAUUGGAGUCAACGCCAGAAAUCUUACCCGGAGAAGACAGCAGAAUGAAGGUCAAGCUGAAGACUUUACCAGACAAGCUGAGAGGUGGUGCAUGGCCGUCGCCAGCUCGUGCCGUGAGAUGUCCUGUUAAGUCAGGUAACGAGCGAGAUCCUCGCCACUAGUUGCUAUCAUUAUUCUCAGGAAUAGUGGGGCGAAUUAGUGGGACUGCCGUUGUUAAAACGGAGGAAGGAGGGGGCUACGGCAGGUCAGUAUGCCCCGAAACUCUGGGGCCACACGCGGGCUGCAAUGGUAGCGACAAUGAGCUCCAAACUCGAAAGAGAGUGGCAAUCUCUAAACGCUACCACAGUUAUGACUGAGGGCUGUAACUCGCCCUCACGAAUAUGGAAUCCCUAGUAACCGCGUGUCAUUACCGCGCGGUGAAUACGUCCCUGCUCCUUGCACACACCGCCA
rnacentral:rRNA from 1 species